UACAUGCAUACUCACGCGCACACACACAUACAUACUCGCGCACACACAUACAUACAUACACACACACACAUACAUACAUACUCACACAUACAUACAUACAUGCAUACUCACGCGCACACACAUACAUACUCACACAUACAUACAUACAUGCAUACACACACAUACAUACAUACAUACUCGCGCUCACACACAUACAUACAUACACACACACACAUACAUACAUACUCACACAUACAUACAUACAUGCAUACUCACGCGCACACACAUACAUACUCACGCACACAUACAUAUUCGCGCGCACACACAUACAUACAUACAUACAUACAUACAUGCAUACUCACACAUACGUACUCGCGCUCACACACACAUACAUACAUACAUACAUACAUACACACACACACAUACAUACAUACAUGCAUACUCACGCGCACACACAUAUACAUACUCACGCACACAUACAUACUCGCGCACACACACAUACAUACACACACACACAUACAUACAUACAUACAUACAUACAUGCAUGCAUACUCACGCGCACACACAUACAUACUCACGCACACAUACAUACUCGCGCACACACAUACAUACAUACUCACACACAUACUCACACACACAUACAUACUCGCGCUCACACACAUACAUACUCACAUACAUACAUACAUACAUACAUACUCACACACAUGUACAUACAUACUCACUCACACACAUACAUACUCACACACAUACAUACAUACUCACACAUGUACAUACUCACACAUGCGCACACACACAUAUAUACAUACAUACUCACACAUGCACACACACAUAUAUACAUACAUACUCGCACAUGCGCGCGCACACACAUAUAUACAUACAUACUCACACUCACUCUCUCUCUCUCUCUCUCUCUCAUCGGCCUCAAUCAUAUAUCUCCAGUUCAUCCUCUAAUAACUGAUUUCCAACAGAUAAGUCAUGUCCUCUUAUCCAGUGGAAGAUUUGUACAAUCAUAACAUAGACUUGAUAGAAUCCUUGAUGAAACUACGCUGGCUGAAUGGGUGUAGACCAUUACGAAUAAUAACCAUCCAUAUUGUUGAAAUAAAUCUAAAAUAUAUAUUUUUAAAAAGCUCAGGACGGGGGUAUAUAUGCAUUACGUAUGGAUGCACAGUAUGGACAAUGUCUGUUGAAGUUAUAUUCACACAUGUUGCGAUACACAUUGCGAAACAUUAAAAACAAAAUAUCAGUGUCUCCUGAAGGUGUCAGGUUAAAGAUUGCAUUGUUCUGAUGACUGUUAUUUACUUUGGUUGGGUUACAUAGAUGGUCCGAUUCACAGAAAAGUGUUUGAAAUCAAAAGAUUAAUGAGAUGAUGGAUCAGCUUUCAUUUCCUGAUAUGUACAUCAAGAUGUGAUAAACCCACCAAGUUUGAACCCACCCAUUUUUCAAGUGAUCAAAAAUAUUGGAACACGUGACUGACCAGUCUUUCCUGUUGCCCAGGUGUGCCAUGUGAGAUUGAGUCAUUGUUUAAACAAUGAAUAGCUAUGAAUGUCUAAUCUCGGUUUGGGUCUUGGGUUUGGCCUGUGAAUGCAGCAUUUGUUGUUUAAAAAGGAUAAGCCAUCAUGAAGACCAGAGAGCUGUCUAUGGAAGAAAAUCAAGCUGAUUUGAAGCUGAGAAAAGAGGGAAAAUCAGUGUCUGGAGUCAUUACACAAGUAUUGGGCAUAAGAUAAGAUGUAUACCUGUGUUGAUCCCCUGUAGGGAGGAAUGGAAUGUCCUGAAAAAGAAAGUACACCAGUGGUUUCUAACAACCAGACAUUGAACAAGUUGAGCAAGGAAAAUAACAGCAGCUGAUAACAGAAAUUUUGUGAAAGCUGUGACGAAAAAGCCAAAAACGACAGUGGCAUCAAAACCACCUCCAUGGGGUAGGAGUGAAGGUAUCUCGAUCCACUGUUGAAAGAUUUAUAGAGAGCAGUACAGAGGUCAUACCACCAGAUGCAAACCACUCAUGAGCAGUAAGAAUCGGAAAGCCAGAUUGGAAUUUGCAAAGAAAUACAGAGAUGAGCCACAAAAGUUCUGGAACCAAGAUGAACCUCUACCAAAGUGAUGGAAAGGACAAAGUGUGGACAAAGAGGCGAUCUGAUCAUGAUCCGAAACAUAGAAACUCAUCAGUCAAGCAUGGUGGAGGUAGUGUCAUGGCUUGGGCUUGCAAGGCUGCUUCUGGAACAAGCUCACUAAUCUUUAAUGAUUGAACUUGUGAUGGAAGCAGCAGAAUGAGUUCAGAAAUCUACAGAAACAUCCUGUCUGCUAACUAACAGAGAAAUGUAUCCGACAUAUUAGGAGGAACUUCAUCGUGCAGCAAGACAGCGACCCAAAACACACUGCAAACACAACAGAGGACUUCAUCGGGGGGGAAAAGUGGAAAGUUUUAGACCGACCAAGUCAAUCACCAGACUUUAAUCCAAUUGAGCAGCAUUUCACCUCUGGAAGAGGAGACUGAAGGGAGAAACCCCUGCAAGCAAAUAACAUAAAGAGGCUGCAGUACAAGCCUGGAAAAGCAGCACAAAAAAAGAAUGCAACAGUCUGGUGAUAUCACUGGGUCACCAGCUUGAUGCAGUUAUUGCAUCAAGCAUAAUUAAAAGAUUCGCAACCAAUUUUUAAGUGUUAUUUAGUUUAAGACUAGUUUAAGGGUAGUUUUUCAGAUCUAGCACAUAAUUAUAGCAUCGACUCUGUUUCUACUCAGAGGCUCGGUUAAUGGCUUAAGCUCAUUCGUUUUUAAGUUUUGUUAGGAUCAGACAGUCACUGGAUUUCAUCCUAGGUUUUGCCUGAUAGUUGUUUCUGCAUUCAUAAUUUUGAGUUGCUGUUACAUAGAGCAGGGCAAUAUGAUUAUAUAAUAUCAAUGUUGUGAUCGUAUAGCAAUAUAGCAUUAUCUUUUUAUUCCAGUUUUUUUUUUUAAUGAUCUUUAAUUGUUUUAUGGCAGUUUAUCAAAUCGUAUCUUGGUACAUAUCUUGUAUCAUGGAAACGUUCAAUUUAUACAUGUUCAAAUUAUCAUGAUUUUUUUUCUUCUUCUUCUUCAAGUGCUGUUGACUGCUCCUGAUCAGUCAGAGGGCGUUGAUUGAUUGAAUAAUUUUCUUUAAUACCAGUAGUACCAGUGGUUCCAGCUGCAAGCUUUAUGUUAAUGAACUCAUGCUAAUAUGUUACUGUUUCUUUGAUCACAAUGUACACAAGGACUUGUAUGGUGGAUGCGCUACAUAAACAGAAUAUAUAUAUAUAUAACGUGUAAUGGCUGAUAUUGUGGCGUUUUCUGUGAUGAGACGUUUAUUUAUGGAAGGGGUCUCCAGUGUCGGUGCUUCGUAACAGUCUAAGAUAAACCUGCUCACCUGCUACCUACUCACGUACCCUGUUAUUGAUUACUUUCUUACAUCAGCGUGAUCCAUCAUGUUUUCUUACUUACGUCACCCCCACCUACUGAUUCAAAUCGUUCUGCCUACCAGCUAAGGCUAUCCGAGCAGGCAGCGGUUGGCGACUGGUUACACGGAAAUGGAAGCAGACCCUUAUGGAACGUUAAAUUUGUGGCCAAAAUAGAUAAAGACUCUGUUAUGGAACAUUUUGCCGAGCCCUGUUUGUCUACCAUCCAGUCAUACGUGAAAGUCAAACUGUAAUACCAAAAGGGUGUGAAAGUGAAAUACGUGCUCAUCUUCUCAACAUGAUUGUUAGUCAGUCAGCCAGUGAGUGCACUACCAGGCGUUUGUAACACGUCAACUUGAGGGUUUUAGCGAAAACAACGAGGUGUCCUUUCAUAGAGCUGCCGAACAGCAUAGAAAGACAUGAAAAUAGAGCUUACAUUUAUCUUAUUCUUUUAAUAAACAGCACCUGAAAGUAAUACGUGUUAAUAGCAGCCUGUUACUGCUGUCAUGUUUCUUUUUUUCUUUUUUUUACCCUGGUGUUUAUACUGUACUGUAGAUAAGACGUAGUGUUUUGUUGAUUUCUCAACUAAACCAUUUUUAAGUACAGUCUGUAUUGUUCCACAUUUGAGUUGUGACACAGGAAGUGAGAACGGGUCUGCUCUAUAACCAGUACAAGCAAAUGUUAUUAUUCCGCUUCAUAUGCUCUCACUUGGGUACAGAAUGUGCUUGAAACUAGAACGUGCGCUUUUUUUUCUUACUUUUUUUUUCUUUUUUUUCUUUUUUUUUUAUAACGGCCCACGGUUUUCUGUUACAGUGUCAACACCCGAACUACAGUAUGACUCACUAACAAUCCAGUUCUGAGCAACCAAGUCCUCAGCUGGAGAAAUGGCAUUCAGGAGUAAGCAGUAGGAUAGGCUGUAGAGUAGAGAAUAUGUAGUGCACUGGAUUUAGCCAUUAACACUGUUGUAAAUUUCAUGAAAAGGCAUUUUCCACGAAGGAACAGGAGCAGCACGUAGCGCACGCACCACUCUUUAAUGACCUUUGAGCACGAGCACACGCGGUCGUAUAUCCUACUGACUCGGGUAAGCUAAUUCAGGGAAGUGGUCAUUUGCAUGGUGGUAGAAAUGGAACAAGGUUAAUGGGGGUGGAUUAAUCAGUGACAUGAUGAUGCAUACAUGAACGAAGUAGGCUUUGCGUGGAACAUGAUUUUGAACCUAAUUAAAUGAAUAAAACUACGUGCGUCUGCAUUCUGGCCUAUUUCUCUAAAAGUGUGGCCUAAAUGCAAGGUUUGGCUGAUGUUGCCAUACAGUGUUAAGGGUCUGGUGUUGGUUGAGGACACUCUCCCCCAUAAUGCCCCAUUUACCUCUCAGUUAUGUGUAUGUGGCAAUGUGAGAGGUGUGAGAUAAGCAGCUUGUAUGCAUUCCUGACUUAUAAAAUAAAACCAUUUCAGUCAUGUUAUACGAAUAAGUUCAGUCUAAUGGAUGUGUGAAAAGAUUUCUAAAAAAAAAAAAAAAAAAUUCUUAAGAGCCAUCAGUCUCUCGAUUAAGAACAGUUUUCCAAAAUAACUUUUGGCAAGAUUAAAUGUUCUCUCCUUCUUCCUGUGAAGUAAGAAACGGGCAUGUCACACGUACUUGAUAUUUGAUACAGGAGAUAACCUUCUCCAUUCUCCCGAUUGCGUCAGAUAUGAUUUUCACAUCGCAGCGCUUGGUGGAAGAAAUGCGCCCAGAUGUUUGUGUGUAUUUAUUUAUUUAUUUUUUGCAGUGAUGAUGUGAGCGAGGGCCGGGCCAAGGCUGCGACGCGGCGAAACGAUUUAAACACCGAAAAAGGCCUGGAAUUGUUUGUGCAGGAGCGCGGCUGGAGAAAGCUCCUAAAAAAGGCAAUGCUCGAGCUCUUUCUACAGAGGGAGAUGGUGUUAACCCCAUGCUCACAGCCGAGGCAGAAUCUCGUUCAGGUCCAUGUGGACAAACUAACUUUUAUCUAGAACGCUUUAUACGAAAGUGAAAAAAUGUUUUUUUUUCCGUUUUUUUUUCUCAGUUCCUUGAGAUACCUCUGCAUCUACUGAUUAAUCAUAAAUAAUCACCGUCGUAUCAGUCCAGAAUCUCGUUUUGAUUCGCUGCUGCGCAAUCCGUGUGUGUAAACUUUUCCACACAGUUCUUCCGAAUUGAAAUGGUCACUUCUGAACAUCUCGAGUGUUUAAAUUUUUUUUUAAUUCUGUUUAUCCACCCAAGGUGAUUAAUUCACUUUUAGGGUCUGUAUAGGAUCAGUGUGACGAGUGUUGGCUUUACAUGUACACCAUACAUAUUCUUAUUGUAUCUAUUCUAUAUAUAUAUAUAUAUAUAUAUAAUUAUUUUUUUAUUUAUUUAUUUAUUUUCGUUUUGAACAUUUUAACUGUAGAUUAUUAAAUAUUUACACUGUUCAGGAACAUUUAGGCUUUUUCUUAAUAAAUAAAAGUAUUGCUUUAGUGCUAUUAGGACUAGUAAUAAGUUCCUGUAAAAUAGGGAAUUGCUGUGGAGACUUAUAAUACAGUACAUUUUUUGCUUUGAAAGGAAAUCUGAGGAGGUUUAAAGAAUAUGGGUGGGGAAAAAAACUUCAUACUGGAUGAAGAUAUUGCAUUUUAUAGUUAUACAGGUAUAAAAUUAGUGUGUUGUAGAUUUGCUGACUUAAUUUCAAAGAAAUGGCUGUGCUUUUAGUGUGUUUAAAAUCUAGGGAAAAUCAGAUUUCAGUUUUCAAUAUCAGAUUUUUAUAUAUAAUAUAUAUAUAUACUUUAUUUUUUACAAGUCUAUGUAUUUAACAUUGAAAUUACCAUAUAUAAAUGUAAGAUGAUUAUUAUUAUUAUUAUUAUGUCUUAUUUUAGGCUUGAAAUUCUAAUGUUCUAUUGACAUCAUUUUUUUAAAAUUCCAACAUUAACUUAUUGAAAGAAGCACAAUUAUCUCCUAAUAUAACAAAACUAUUCCUAUUUUUAAAUUUGUAAAAACGUGUAGAACGAUCCCUAAUCUUAUUCCUCAUUAUGAGCUUAUGAUAAAGCAAGAUUUUCUCACUUGACGUUUUCGUCGGUUUUGCAGUGUAAUCCGUUACUAAUGCAUGUCUGUUUCAGCAAAAAAAAAAAAAAAAAAGAAUAAACCUGCUUUCAUCUCUUUAUAGUUUUAAAGAACGGCCCUUAAGAAUCUCUGAAGUUUUUCUUUGUGAGGAUUGGGGGGCAGUUGUGAUCGUUUACUUCCUUUUAGGUGGGAUAGGCCGUUCAGUCAGGUCUGAGAGCACUCCCUUUGGCCUCAGUCACACUGUCCUGUGAACAUGCCACAGGAAUAAAAGGUCUGGAAAAUAAAGGAAGAGGUGUGAUGUUAAGGCGCCGAAGGCAAUCUGUGGAUUUCUUGGCCUGCUGCCAUGGUUAACAUUCCUAAGGCCCUGUCAAUGUUUUUAACUCUCUGGGAACAGAAUGUGCCUUCACAUGUGUGCUUCUCAAGAGCGUUACGUGUUUACCUUUUUUCUCUUCUCCUGCUUCCUCUGACUAGUCUUCCUUCCUUCUUACUAACUUCUCUCUCUUCCUUCCAGGUUUGAUAUAUACCGGAAGGUGCCCAAAGACCUCACCCAGCCCACAUACACUGGAGCCUUCAAGUGAAUGAACUGUAUGUGGAUGACCCAGAUAAAGACAGUGGAGGGAAGAUUGAAUGGUGGGGUUGGACAUCCAAGAUGAAAUGGGCCGUCAUGAAGUCGGCCACAUAGAAAACUCCAUGAAGGUGCCACUCAACAACGGUUACG